AGCGAGGUGGUCGAGUUGUAGAUGGUGGGCUGUAAACCUACUUACGGGAUUUUUUCCCUCUUGCUA
rnacentral:tRNA from 1 species